GCCUGGAUGGUGAAAUGGGUAGACACGCUGAACUCAAAAUUCAGUGAUUAAAAAUCUUGUGGGUUCAAAUCCCACUCCAGGUA
rnacentral:tRNA from 1 species